UCCACUUGGGAUGAUCAAGGCCUUCGGAAGU
rnacentral:piRNA from 1 species